GACGAACGCUGGCGGCGUGCUUAACACAUGCAAGUCGAACGGAAAGGCCCUGCUUUUGUGGGGUUCUCGAGUGGCGAACGGGUGUGUAACACGUGAGUAACCUUCCCUUUACUUUGGGAUAACUUCAGGAAACUGGGGCUAAUACCGGAUAGGAGCUCCUGCUGCAUGGUGGGGGUUGGAAAGUUUCGUCGGUUGGGGAUGGACUCGCGGCUUAUCAGCUUGUUGGUGGGGUAGUGGCUUACCAAGGCUUUGACGGGUAGCCGGCCUGAGAGGGUGACCGGCCACAUUGGGACUGAGAUACGGCCCAGACUCAUACGGGAGGAAGCAGUGGGGAAUAUUGCAAAAUGGGCGGAAGCCGGAUGCAGCAACGCCGCGUGCGGGAUGACGGCCUUCGGGUUGUAAACCGCUUUCGACUGUGAAGAACCGUGAGUGAAGGUAAUGGGUAAAGAAGCACCGGCUAACUACGUG
rnacentral:rRNA from 1 species